GCGCCCAGCUUAAGGAACCUGGUCCUUGGCACCUGUCGGCUCCAUCUACUCCAGUCAACCUUAGAAGCUCCCCAGGACCAUCUUGAGACUGUCCAGACCCUCCCCCCGAAUGCAGACCAGUAGGGCCGCCCGAUGACCUCACCCAGAGCCACCCAGCAAAUGAGUGCUGGACCGGGGACCAAGACCGGGCCACGUGGCCCCGCUGCCCCCGCCAGCCCCACUCAGCCGGAGGAGUGGCCCGGGCCUCGAGAUGGAACCUUAAGGGAACCCUCACCAGCCCUCUGGAGUUUGGCCUCCCGGAGCCAGGCCCGAUGCUAAGUGAUCCAAUGCGUAUUUCACAGUGGCGGUGGGAGAUGGAUGCCUCACAGAUGUGGCGUGCUUUUCACAGAUGAGGAAACUGAAACCUGAGCUGGACAAGAGUACAGGCUCCGGACGCGCAGGCUCAGCGGCCAUGGCUCACGGGCCCAGCCACUCCGCGGCAUGUGGGAUCUUCCCGGACCGGGGCACGAACCACUGCGCCACCGGGGAAGCCCCUCCUCAGAAAUUUUUGAAUGGAUGAAUCGACUCUUACAGAAUGGGAAACCUGAGAGUUGGGGAGCUGAGACUCAACAUGGUAUCUUCUGACACAUAAGUAGAUGCUCUUUUUCAUUUCAUUCUGUCUCCUGGAAUCAAAGUCUGUUAAAACUGAAGAGAGGGCCCUCAGAGACCAUCCAGUCCAUCUCCCUCACUUCACAGUGAAAAUGUGAGCUGGGACCUUCACAGAAACACACCUCCUAGGCUUAAGUAAUGUUGUUUUUGUCUUCCUUAGAAGCUGGGAGUAGGUCCUUGUAUACAUUAAAGAUCAAGAGACAAAAUGGAACUGUAAUUAUGAUUCUGAAAUUACUCAUAAUUAGAUCUAUGGUGAGGCUCUAAUUCAGAUUGAGACCAAGUUGCUGGUUCCCAAUAACCCACAAGUCAGUGAAGGUUCAAGAGGUGCUAAUUAGGACUUUCCUGGUGGCGCAGUGGUUAAGAAUCUGCGUGCCAGUGCAGGGGACACUGUUUGAGCCCUGAUCUGGGAAGAUCCCACAUGCCGCGGAGCAACUAAGUCCAUGUACCACAGCUACUGAAGUCCGUGCGCCACAGCUACUGAAGCCUGCACGCCUAGAGCACAUGAUCCGCAACAGGAGAACCACCGCAAUGAGAUGCCCGCGCACCGCAACGAAGAAUAGCCCCCGCUCGCCGCACGGAGAGAAAGCCUGCGCGCAGCAACGAAGACCCAACAAGCCAAAAAUAAAUAAAUAAUUAAUUUUAAAAA